UACGUAGGUGGCAAGCGUUGUCCGGAUUUACUGGGCGUAAAGAGCGCGCAGGCGGUCGUUCAAGUCGCGUGUGAAAGCCCCCGGCUCAACUGGGGAGGGUCACGCGAUACUGAUCGACUCGAAGGCAGGAGAGGGUAGUGGAAUUCCCGGUGUAGUGGUGAAAUGCGUAGAUAUCGGGAGGAACACCAGUGGCGAAGGCGGCCCGCUGGGCAGUGGCUGACGCUGAGGCGCGACAGCGUGGGGAGCAAACAGG
rnacentral:rRNA from 1 species